rnacentral:ncRNA from 1 species
UAAACGACUUAGAAAAGGAAUAGUAAGUUUAUAAGCUUUUUAGAGAGGGAAUGGUCGGUGCAAAUUCCUAAAGCAAGUAUUCUGAACCAGCCUUGGAGUCUCUGUACCGAAAUAAAAGUAGGCUACAGCGGUUUUCCCGUUAAAGAUGUUAAGAGAUUAUGUAGAGCUUUUACAUAAUAAGUAGGGUGGUAACGCCAUGAAUGGUCCCUUUU